AGUGAACGCUGGCGGUAGGCCUAACACAUGCAAGUCGAACGGCAGCACAGUAAGAGCUUGCUCUUACGGGUGGCGAGUGGCGGACGGGUGAGGAAUACAUCGGAAUCUACUUUUUCGUGGGGGAUAACGUAGGGAAACUUACGCUAAUACCGCAUGCGACCUACGGGUGAAAGCAGGGGAUCUUCGGACCUUGCGCGAUUGAAUGAGCCGAUGUCGGAUUAGCUAGUUGGCGGGGUAAAGGCCCACCAAGGCGACGAUCCGUAGCUGGUCUGAGAGGAUGAUCAGCCACACUGGAACUGAGACACGGUCCAGACUCCUACGGGAGGCAGCAGUGGGGAAUAUUGGACAAUGGGCGCAAGCCUGAUCCAGCCAUACCGCGUGAGUGAAGAAGGCCUUCGGGUUGUAAAGCCCUUUUGUUGGGAAAGAAAAGCAGCAGGUUAAUACCCCGCUGUUCUGACGGUACCCAAAGAAUAAGCACCGGCUAACUUCGUG
rnacentral:rRNA from 1 species